GGUGGUGUGGUUCAGUGGAAGAACUUUUGCCUGGCACACAAUGAAGCCCUGGGUUCAAUCCCCAAUGCCACCA
rnacentral:tRNA from 1 species